rnacentral:tRNA from 1 species
UAGCACAGCCUGGUAGUGCACCUGGUUUGGGACCAGGGGGUCGUAGGUUCGAAUCCUA